GUUACCAAGGCGGCCCCAUUCUGCCCAACAAAAGCCCCGUGUCUGACCUCUCCAAGCCCAAGACAGAGGAUUCGGGCGAGGCUCUGAGGAAGCUGAGUUGUCCUGCCGAGGACAGAGGAGAGCUUGGGGCAGUGAGUGCAAUAACUGACCGAGCUGGCACCCGGCUCAGCGUCUCCCAGGGACUGCCUUGUGAAACCCUCACUACGACCCUGUUAUCUCCAGCUUUUAUUAUCCUCAUCUGCAGGCGACAUUGAGGUUCAGAAAGGGUAGGAAACUCCCCUAGGAUCACACAGCUGAUAAGAUGCAGAGCGGGAGCCCAGGGUCAGGCUACCUGGAAACAGGGCCCUUGCAUUUGUCUAUAGCGUCAUUUUGCCUCUCAAGGAAAAGACAUGCAAAAAAGAGGAGGAGAGCCAGAAGGCAGUGGGGGCUGUGGCAAGAAAAUGUCCAUGUCACCGUUCAGGGUUCGUGUGGAGCCGUGUGACCUGCAGCAUCUGCAAGCCUCGCUCCGACUUCCCUGCUCCCUCCGCCUGCCUCACCCCUGCACACCCUCUGCAGGAGGGUUUGAGGGAAGUAGAAGGGGCUGCCUGAGCCGCACACCUCGGCUGGAGCUGUGUAAAACUGAAAGAGCAGGCCUGGGGCAGAGGCCCAAUGCAGACACCGAAUGCAUGUAGCAGAAGCCACAGCUCCACGGCAGACGUGGGGCGGGGGGCGUGUAAAGACUCAAGGCAUUCCAGAACUCUCCGAAGAAUUGAGGAGAGUGAUGCACUUCCAACGGGUGUGGAAUAUGAACUUGAACAGAUUUUUUUUUUUUUUUUUUGAAAUAGCAAGGGAAGGCGGUUACACAGAGAUGGUGUACUGAGACUUAAAGAGGCCUCCUACUCUGAUAGACCGCUGCCCCUCUGUGUCCCAUGCCUCCACCCUCAGGCUGGGGUCUGAGGUUCCAGGUUCUGUCUGGCACAGGUCAUGCUCCCCCUCUCCCGCCCACCUGGCGGGAGGGCAGCCUGAGGCUCAUGGGCCAAGCCUGGCAGAGCCUGGCUCCGGGCUGGGGGCUAAAACCAAGAACACGGUGACCCGCGAUGCCCACGGGACUCUGACUCCCGUAGCUGAAGCUCCCCCAGGACCUCGCAGGGAAGGGGUCCAGCCUGCUCGCGCUCCAGCAGAAGCAGCGUCUGCCACCCUUCGGCCUUGCUGGAUGACGACUCUAACACAGUUUGGUUUUUCUAAUAGACUGGGCUCUGGGAACCCCUCGCCCUGGCUGGGGCACGCCGAGGGUGGGGACGGGUCACGAGCCUUCAGUGGGACCUUGGUCUGGUC